CUGCGGUGAAUACGUUCCCGGGCCUUGGUACACGACCGCCCGUCAAGCCAUGGAAGCUGGGGGUACCUGAAGUACGUAACCGCAAGGAGCGUCCUAGGGUAAACCGGUAACUGGGGCU
rnacentral:rRNA from 1 species